GCCAGGAACAGACUGAAGAGGAAACAGAAUCUGAAAAGCUGUGACAGUACAAAUAGACCAGUCUGGGUGUCCCAGGGGGCAGUGGCUGGAGACAAUGUGUAAGGAAAGGUCAUGAGGACUUCCUUUUCUUAAGAUGCCAAGGCUUUCGGCUUCAAGCCCACAGUGAGGUGAGCUGCUCUGCAUCAUCAUUUGGUCCCAAACACGAUGGAGUCAGUCAACCCCAGACUCAACAGUGAACGGGUGAAAGACUGAAGUACUGAUGAAAAUGACAACACAAGGUCACAUCUUCAGGAAUGGGAAGACCGAAACUUUUUAUGCUGCAAGUUCAUGCCAAACUGACAUUAAAUUCAACGUAGCCAAUCAAACGCUCAGCCUGUUUUAUGGAUGGAGACAAAGAUCUGAGACAUUAAGAGGCACAGAAAAGCCGAAGAUGGAGAAGAAAGAGCACAAGACUCAAGGCAAGUGAAGCCUCGCACAGCCACAGCUUCAGACCUUCCCCAAAGCUCCAGGCUGACAGGAAAAUGUAGCAUCGCAGCAUCAGGACAGAACAUCGCACCAAGACACAGAAACCGAGAGCAGAGUAGUUAUCUCAGAAAAGCAACGAGGGCAACUCAGCACAGUCUUCCCAUUUCUGCCCUCAAAGGGGAGCAAACGUGUCCUACAACUUCUGCAAAAAGUUAAUUCAGUCAAAGAAAUACUUGUAAAAUGCCAGACCUUGGGGGCGAGGCAAGGGGCACAAGAAGGAACAGGACAGAGCUAGACAACAAGGAGUGAGGAAAAACCUAUGGGAAAGGGUUUGGAAUAAAGUUUUACAAACAGCACGAAAUCAUGACUCAUCAAAAGAGGAGUGUCAGGAUGGACUUUACUUAAAAUGAGUAAAAUAAAAGCACUCCUCCGAAAAGAACAUUGUCAAAGAGACUAAAGAUAAGCCAGAAUGGGAGAUAGAUUUUGUCAUACAUAUAUCUGACAAAGGGCUGGAAUCUAAAACACACCAUGAACUUGUCAAAAAUCAUUGAACUGAUUUCCAAGCAGGCCAAAAACCCUUAGGACAUACCUAAUGUCAAAGCAGCUAACAGAGACAAAAACCCACCAUAUACAAAGGCCAUUUCAACAAGGACGGCCAGGGACCUGUGAAUUCAAACAACAGGCGACCACUGCACUCCUACUGGAGCAGCCCAAACCAGACACCACCAAAUGCUGAGGAGAUUUGGAGGAUGGAGGAUUCAGUCACUGUUGGCAGGGAUGCAAAACAGGACAACCAAAGAAAGAGUCUGCACUUCCAAGAUGCCCCCUCACCUCCCCCACCCGAUGCCCAGGAGUAGCUAGUCCCAAAGGACACUUUGAAAAUUAUCACUACAGAGAAAAAAAAUCAAACCCUUUCUGGAGUUGGAGGGCGGGGGAAGCGAUAUCUCCAUCAGUAAAGCACUUGCCUUUAGAA